AGAGUUUGAUCCUGGCUCAGGACGAACGCUGGCGGCGUGCUUAACACAUGCAAGUCGAGCGGAAAGGCCCUUCGGGGUACUCGAGCGGCGAACGGGUGAGUAACACGUGAGCAACCUGCCCCUGGCUCUGGGAUAGCUCCGGGAAACCGGGAUUAAUACCGGACAUGACCUGCUGCGGCAUCGCGGCGGGUGGAAAGUUU
rnacentral:rRNA from 1 species